rnacentral:rRNA from 1 species
UGGGGGAUCUUGGACAAUGGGGGCAACCCUGAUCCAGCGACGCCGCGUGGGUGAAGAAGGCCUUAGGGUUGUAAACCCCUUUCGCCGGGGAAGAUGAUGACGGUACCCGGAGAAGAAGCACCGGCUAACUCCGUGCCAGCAGCCGCGGUAAGACGGAGGGUGCUAGCGUUGUUCGGAAUCACUGGGCGUAAAGGGCGCGUAGGCGGCCUGGACAGUCAGAUGUGAAAGCCCGGGGCUCAACCCCGGAACGGCAUUUGAUACUGCCAGGCUGGAGGACGGAAGAGGAGGGUGGAAUAUCCAGUGUAGAGGUGAAAUUCGUAGAUAUUCGGAGGAACACCAGUGGCGAAGGCGGCUCACUGGCUCGAUACUGACGCUGAGGUGCGAAAGUGUGGGGAGCAAACAGGAUUAGAUACCCCCGUAGUCC